rnacentral:lncRNA from 1 species
CUUCAUGAACGGCGUCGUGGAUUCGGCAUGAACGAAGGCGGUUCGUGGAUUCGAAUCGUGGGCUCGUGGAUUCGAGUGGGCGUCGUGGAUUCGACGUGAUCGAGGCUUCGUGGAUUCGAAGUGGUGACGUUUCGUGGAUUCGGGACGUGACGUUCGUGGAGUCGGACGUGGGGCGUGGACAACCCAUUGGUGUGCGCGAGAUCCGGAGAAGAUAAAAAGAGAGGUUUGAGUCCGUGGAUUCGGUAAU